rnacentral:lncRNA from 1 species
UGGAAAAUGACUCAAAGACCGAUUCUGGUUUGAUUCAUUUCCUCCCUUUGUAACAAAGGCAUUGAGUGCCUUUGAUUCUCCUGAGAUGGUGGGGAUUCCCACAUCUCCUCAGGCUCCUUAUCUCGUUUCAGCUACCGCUCUUGACACCUGCACACCGGUUUCAGCUCCUUCUACAAGUGCCCAGCUCAGCUUGAUGUCAAGAAAAGAUGUGCGUUUGCUCUCUGAGAUCUGCUUUGAAGAAAUAUACGGGAUCUGUCGUUUUUGCUUUUAUUCGUGUUCAUUGCAGAAAUUGGACGUCUGAGAACUGUCGUCGUUCAGAAAGACUCUUUGCGGGUUGCUGUGAAUGAGCAGAGGAGCAUGCAAUGAAUGUAAGAUUUCUCAUAAUGACUGCGGUGGUGAUCACAAAUGCUCCGAAAUGAUCUGGCAGGGCCUUAUUGGCGCUGUCUAACUAAGCCUUUGAGAUUUAUGGCAAUGCCAAGCAUAUUUCAUUAGGCAUUUGUAAAAUCGGAUUGACAGAUGGACCCAAGGCAAGGCCCUGUUGGUGAUGGUGACCCUGGAGACCACCUGGUUGUGUUGACCCAUGACAGGGGCUUUUUGGUGGCAGAUUCCCCACCUGUGGAACGCUUUGCCUGGUAAUUAUGCCAUAUUGUCCUCAUUAUCGACUUUGAGGAGGUGUUUAAAAACAUUCCUGUUAACGUAAGGACCCACAAAGGGGAGGAGGGAAGUUGAUGGGAAUUUAUGGAAUUCUCUUUUUGUUUUGGUUGCUUGAUGAUUGUAAAUUUCAAAAUCUGAAAAUUAAAUAAAUGUAUAAAUAAUUUUUAAAAAAAAUAUCUGUUUACCUGGGCAUUUGAUGGCUGAAUGAUACUGUUCCUGGCAACUUUAAAAUCAUGGGUGGAAAUAUAUUAUUAUUAUUAUUAUUAUUAUUAUUACUACUACCACUAUUAUCAUUAUCAUUUAUUGAAUUUAUAUACUGCCCUAUACCUGGAGGUCUCAGGGCAGUUCACAAAAUAAAGUACGGUUUCUAACUGUUUUUAGAAUGUCCUUAACUGGUUUUGAAAUGUUUUUAAGUACUAAUACGUUUGCUGCCCUGAGCUCCUUUGGGGGAAAAGGCAGGAUAUAAUUUGAAAUAAUAAUAAUAAUAAUAAUAAUAAUAAUAAUAAUAAUAUGAAUAUGCCAUGCUUAUUCUUAUUUGUGGUUGGUUGCAAGUUGCUUUGUGUUGCUCUGGGCAAGAUAAAGCGACUAACAAAUGUAUUAAAUACAGUGGUACCUCGGGUUAAGUACUUAAUUCGUUCCAGAGGUCUGUUCUUAACCUGAAGCACCUCUUUUGCUAAUGGGGCCUCCUGCUGCCACUGCGCCACCGGAGCACGAUUUCUGUUCCCAUCCUGAAGCAAAGUUCUUAACCCGAGGUACUAUUUCUGGGUUAGUGGAGUCUGUAACCUGAAGCGUAUGUAACCUGAAGCGUAUGUAACCCGAGGUACCACUGUAAAUAAUUCCUAUCAGUGCUAUUUUGCUAGAAAAACAGGUGCCAGACCUCACUAUGAACGCCUCCCUUGUUCUCUUAUAACGACAAUGAUGCCCACCUGAGAGGUGCUGGAACAGAGUUACAGCAAGUUACGGCAGGAAAAAAGCCCUGAUUCCUUCUACAUCAAAGUUCAGGAGAGUGUGUGGAUCUUCAUGCAGAUAAAAGUACUAUACAUAAUCAAAAAGGUGGCAUUGGUAGGCUUAGGGGGAACUUCAGGGUUUGCAGAAGUCCAAAAAAAUCUUUAGAAGCACAACUGCGCUAGACCAGAAACAGCUCAAUGAGUACAGGGCAUGCCCAGUGGACAUGAAAUGUUGGAGGGGUGCAAUAGAAAUCGGGUAUGGAGCAUUGGAACAAACACUUGACUGGGUACACACCAUACCUUUAAAGCAUAUGACUUCCCCCCCAAAGUAUCUUGGGAACUGUAGUUAGCACCUCAAAGAGCUAUAAUUUCUGGCACCCUUAACAAACAACAGUUCCCAGGAUUAUGUGGGGGAAGCCAUGUGCUUUGAGUAUGUGGCAUGCAUGCAGAGUAUCUUGGAAUAGGACCUGACUGCCUGCUGGAACCCUGAACAGGAUUCUGUGCAGCUUCCAUAUCUGAGUCCCAUAUGGCCAAUUUAUAAUGGUGGUUACAGGGCAGAGGAGGUCCGUGCUUGUGACCCACCAGAACAUCCUAACAAGACCAAUCACCAGAGAAAGAAAAAAGGAGAAGUAAGCUCUCAUCGUUGUUUUACCACAUAACCAGCAAAGUCUUGUGACCUGACCUUUUGGUUAGAUAUUUCGAUGGAUGGAAUUCCCAGAAGUGCAAGUAGUUAGCAAGAUGUACUCAAGAUACAUCAAGGACUUGGGGAGUCUUGAUUAAAACAGAGCUUCCCAGGAGCCUUCUACUAAACAAGUGACUCAGGAAUUUUGUUCAGGAAUGGAGGCUGGGCAACAGAAAUGGUCUUAUCAGAAGCCUUCACAGACCUGGGUGUGCUUCAGCCAUAACAGCCUGGAAGCUUCAAGGUCAGGAUGCAGAUUCCCAAGAAUGUUUCCCAGCAAGCUGGGACAUGUUGUGAAAGCAGGCUUUGAAAAUGGAACUGCACAUUUUGCAUCAGUACUUAUUAUAGAUAACCCCAUGCGAUUCUGCCCAGCAGUUGAGGUCAUCGUCCAAGCUGUGAGGGUGAUGUGCUCAGCAACAGAACACAUACAUUACAUGCAGAAGGUCCUGAAUUCCAUCUCUGACAUCCCCAGAGAGGGUUGGAAAAGACUCCUGUGUCCCCAGCUGCUGCUGGUCAGUGUAGACAAGGGACAGCCAAUAUGGUGCCCUUCAGAUGUUGUUGGAUCUCACCACCCAUCACUCUUGGCCAUUGACUAUGCUGGCUUGGGCUAAUGGGAGUUGAAGGCCUAGAACAGCUGGAGGGCACCACGUUGGCUACUCCAGGUGAGAACAAUGCUGAGCUAGAUGGAGCAGUGGCCUGACUCAUAUAAGGCAGCUUGCUGUGUUCCUAUCACCCAUCUCUGAGUUCCCAUUGCUUGCUGGGUGGGUGACAACCAGAUUGAAUAUGUUUUCUGUAGUUCUUCUCCAAGUGGUGCUGUCCCUCCCAAGAGAUAUCUGCCAGGAACCUUCAUUAUAAUACUUUAGGCACUGGCAACACCUGCCCUCACGACUGCCACCCUUUAGCGGAACUCCUGUGUUUGUUUGCUGGCUCUUUGGGCAACUAGGGAUGUGAGGAGGCGUUUAUUUCCUUUCCAGGCUGUGUUCACUGCAUGCAGCACUGUUUCCGUUCUGCUGCAUUUCGGCUUCCAACCCAAAAAAUGCCAUUACACUGGUACCUCGGGUUACAGACGCUUCAGGUUACAGACACUUCAGGUUACAGACUCCGCUAACCCAGAAAUAGUACCUCGGGUUAAGAACUUUGCUUCAGGAUGAGAACAGAAAUUGCGCGCUGGCGGCGCAGUGGCAAUGGCAGCGGGAGGCCCCAUUAGCUAAAGUGGUACCUCAGGUUAAGAACCAUUUCAGGUUAAGAACAGACCACCAGAAUGAAUUAAGUUCUUAACCCGAGGUACCAAUGUAGUCUCAUGGUCCCGUGUGGCAGAAUUUUGCACCAUUAAUUGCACCGUUAUUACAUUAUUUCACAACGCAUUGUUAAACGCCACCCCAAUCAGUGCGUAAGACUUUGAGGGUUCCAGGCACUCACCCAGGAUUUGUGUUUCCUUUGGAAGAUUAGGCACAAUGGCAACUGUGGUGUCUUCAUGAUAUUUGGUUUAUUUACACAUGUAUACAAGCUGAGCCUGCUUAUGGAGCAUCAUACAGCAGCAGUACCCAAAAGCACACCAGCUUAUAGCAGCAGCAACAAUAAGCCCAGCACCAUUUUUUCUCUGCAGAGCACAAUACAACUUUCUGGUUACAUCACUCCAACCCUAACCCCACAGCUUCUCCCCCUAGCCAAAAUCCUUGUCUCAUAACCCAGGGGAAGUUCCCUCCUUUGAUGUGCUAAAGCUCAUUACCUCACAGGAGAUUAGCUUUUCAUACCUAUUCACACUUAGCCCUUUCAAUGCUUUGAACGUUAAAUGGUCUAUCCCCACAGGCGGUUCCUUCAGGAGGAAAUUAGUCUUUCGAGUUAACACUUUUUUAUAUUGGGAAAAAUUAUUUGCUUUUUUAUACUGGAAACUUUUCAUUUACCAGGAAGGAUGAUGCCAUCAUACUUCUUCUGGAACCAACGCAUGGCUUCCUCCUUGCUGAUUCAGUGCUGGACCCCAAUGCCACCAAUUUGGUGCUUCUUGUCAGCAAGGCUGAAGCCUGGCCUGCCCAGAACCAACACUUGGAUCGUAUUUCAUCCCUAGAUCAACGUGCUCCUGGAUUCUGAAGCCAAAGUCGCCGGUGUCAGAAGAGUUAUUCCUCCUCAGCUCGUAUUCUCGCACCUUCAGCCCUUCUCUAAGAUCUCCUCAGCUUUGGCCCCCAGCAUAUAUGAAUGAA